CUUUUUUCUUUGGCUGCUUUUAAACUUGUCUCUUUUUCAUUGUUUUUCAGCAGUUUGAUUGAUGGGUUUGGUGUGGUUUUUCACAAUUACUUCUUGAUUGGGGUUUGUGCUUCUUGGUUCUGUGGAUUUAUAGUUUUCCUCAAAUUUGGGUAAAUUUCAGCCGUUCGUUUUUCAGAUGUUUGUUCUGACUCUCCUUCUCUCUUUGGGGCUCCAAUUAUAUAUGCAUUAGACAAUGUGAUAUUUUAUGGGUCACUGAGGCUUUUUAUUUUAACUACUAUUUUUUCCAGGUAACUGAGUCUCAGACAUGCUAUUUGAAAGUCAGCC
rnacentral:lncRNA from 10 species